rnacentral:rRNA from 1 species
GUGUCAGCCGCCGCGGUAAGACGGAGGAUGCAAGCGUUAUCCGGAAUGAUUGGGCGUAAAGCGUCCGCAGGUGGCAAUUCAAGUCUGCUGUUAAAGCGCAGGGCUUAACUCUGUAAAGGCAGUGGAAACUGAAUAGCUAGAGUGUGGUAGGGGCAGAGGGAAUUCCCAGUGUAGCGGUGAAAUGCGUAGAGAUUGGGAAGAACAUCGGUGGCGAAGGCGCUCUGCUGGACCAUAACUGACACUCACAUGACGAAAGCUAGGGGAGCGAAUGGGAUUAGAUACCCCAGUAGUCCUAGCCGUAAACGAUGGAUACUAGGUGUUGUCUGUAUCGACCCGGACAGUGCCGUAGCUAACGCGUUAAGUAUCCCGCCUGGGGAGUACGCACGCAAGUGUGAAACUUAAAUGAAUUGACGGGG